GAUCUACCAUCCAAAAUAAACCCAUGUACAUUUUGAAUACAACGAAUCGCUUCCUCCUCUUUUGAAUAGGUAAUAUAUCUGGAUGCAUGAGCAUUUAGUAAGAACAAUACUACUAAACUGUGAACAAAGGUAAUCAAAACAAUGUUACAAACCAAAUAACUCAAAAAAACCCUAUAAACCUGAAAAAUGGAAAAGGCAAAAACUAGAAAAGCAUAAUAUAAGGGAAGAGAAAUAAUAGCAAAAAAAUAUGCAAUUAAAUCGAAAACGUCGUUUCACACUUCAAAGGUAACACAAUUUUUUUGAUAAGUUAAAAAAUACCUAACUACACAAAGAACAUUCAUUACAAGAUUAGGGCUGUAAAUGAACCAGUCCAUAUGAUUGUUCGCCCAAUAUACACUUGGUUAAAUUCGAACCAAGCUUGACUCGUGAACAAAAAAAAAAAAAAAAAAUUGAUGGUGAAAGUAGAAACCCACUCGAUUAGUAAAUGAUACAUACUCGAUUAAGCUCGACUCGAAUAGAGCUCAUUCAUACGUUGUUAUAUAAUAUUCUUAUCUAGAUGUAUGUAUACCUAUUUAAUUUAAUAAUAUAGUAUAGUAACCUUUAUAAUUAAAUAUAUAGCAUAUAACCUAGUUACUUAUGCCUAGUCAUUUAUGCAUAUAUAUUGAAUGUAGCCUAUCGUUAUACGUUAGUUAAGUACUUAAGUAAUUAAAUAAAAGUAGCUACUUUUAUGUAUAAAAAUUAGUAUAGGUAGGACUUAGUAGUUUCAUAUAUGUUGUUGUAAGAACCAUAUAAGAAAUGUUGAUAUAUGUCGUUGCAUAUACACACCAUAUCACCAUUGCAAAACUAAAAUAUACAGAUUAUAUAUAUAUUACUAACAAGUAACUUAUGUAGACAUAUAAAAUAAGGUUAUUAGGGAUAAAUACCAACCAGUUACAUAUUGUAACGAAUAAAUUAUAUAAAAUGCUUAUAAUUAGUCUACAGUGUAGUUACAUAUUAUAGAAUUUUGUUUCUCUUUCAUCUAAUUUUUAUUAUUGUU